ACGCACGCUUGCGGCGUGCUUCACACCUGCAAGUCGCACGGAAAGGCCCUGCUUUUGUGGGGUGCUCGAGUGGCGAACGGGUGAGUAACACGUGAGUAACCUGCCCUUGACUUUGGGAUAACUUCAGGAAACUGGGGCUAAUACCGGAUAGGAGCUCCUGCUGCAUGGUGGGGGUUGGAAAGUUUCGGCGGUUGGGGAUGGACUCGCGGCUUAUCAGCUUGUUGGUGGGGUAGUGGCUUACCAAGGCUUUGACGGGUAGCCGGCCUGAGAGGGUGACCGGCCACAUUGGGACUGAGAUACGGCCCAGACUCCUACGGGAGGCAGCAGUGGGGAAUAUUGCACAAUGGGCGGAAGCCUGAUGCAGCAACGCCGCGUGCGGGAUGACGGCCUUCGGGUUGUAAACCGCUUUCGCCUGUGACGAAGCGUGAGUGACGGUAAUGGGUAAAGAAGCACCGGCUAACUACGUG
rnacentral:rRNA from 1 species